rnacentral:lncRNA from 1 species
AACCUUCUCACGCAUGUUUAAGUAGCUAGCUCACUAGCGUUUUGGUGCAUGUCGCGCUAUGAGUGACAGCAAUCCGCUGAUUAAAGGCAAGUUAGGGGCUUUUCAAGAACUGAGACGACAUGCUGGAAUCGCAGCAGCUCCAUUAUCAUGGGAGUAUAUCAAACAGUGCCGCUCAUACCGCACAGGACCCGUUUGAAUUCAGACCGCUCAAGGUGGAGCCCGACACCCUGUGCGUCUCCCAGGCGGAGGAGCUGGCCAUGCUGAGGGUGCGUGUCCAGCAGCUGGAGAGAGAGAUGGCCCGGCUCGCGGCGGAGAACCACCACCUCAAAGACCUGCUCGUCAAGGAGAUCCCCGGCCUGCUGUCGGCCAUGAGGCAGACUCUGGCCCCCGCCCAGCCCGACCUCCACUGCUCCCUCUCUUCUUCCUCCUCCUCCUCCUCUUCCUCGGGACCCCUGGCCUGCUCCAUGGCCAACGCUGACGGCAGGUACGGACUCAUGCCGUGGCCCGAACCCGGCCCGGAUCCCAUCCCCUCAAUCGCGGAACUGCUUCGGAACAGACACGAGGACAUGGAUGGGCUUGACGGGAUAGACGGGAACAUCGGGAACGGCGUGGACCUGGCAGGCAGCCUGGAGAGUGUUGCGGGUCGGGGCGGCGAGGUGAUGAAGUUCGAGCUGAGCGAUGAGCUGGAGGAGGAGCUGGGUCCGUUCCUCUGUGAGCUCGGACCACGGCGGCCCUCCGUGACCUCAUGUGGGGCGUCGCCAUGCCAACUGGCUGAGAUGAGGACAAGGGGCCGGCCGCCUGGAUGCAACCAGCUGGGAGACCACCGCCACGUGAGUGUGUGUGUGUGUGUGUGUGUGUGUGUGUGUGUGUCAUCUGGCUCAGAGUUAGAGCCAAGUGGUGUGUGUGUGUGUGUGUGUGUGUGUGUGUGUGUGUGUGUGUGUGUGUGUGUGUGUGUGUGUGUGUGUGUGUGUGUGUGUGUGUGUGUGUGUGUGUGUGUGUGUGUGUGUGUGUGUGUGUGUGUAUUCAUCCUGUAGUCUUAGCUGUGCUCAGAGUGACAUGCCUACUCCCCCUCCGCCCUUCUCCCUCUCUCUCUCUCUCUCUCUCUCUCUUUUUCUCUCUCUUUCUGUCUUUCUCUCUCUCUCUCCUCUGUGGUGAUGCUCAGUCUCUCUCUCUCUUUCGCUCCUCAGGUGACCCUGGUCAAUAUCCUGAUCAAUAUCUCAGCAGGUGGACCAGACCACUGCCCCUCUCUCCCUCCCUCUCCCUCUCUUUCUCUUUCCCUCCAUCUCUCUCUACCUCUAUCUCCCUCUCUCUCCCUCCAUCUCUCUCUCUCUCUCCCCCUCUCUCCCUGUCUCUCCAUCUCCCUCUCUCUCUCUCUCCCCCUCUCUCCCUCCCUCUCCACGUCCGGUCUGUCUGUUUGUCAGGUGGCAAUGUAGAAUAUGGAUGUGUCUUGAGGAUCAUUCUCUCCUUUCUCUCUCCCCUUUUGUGCCUCUGUUUCUCUCAGCCGCAGUUUUAUUGAAUUUUAUCGAGCUUGUGAAAUGCAGAGCCGUUUCACAAAUGAGCAGUACCACAGAAGAAGAAUACCACAUGAGAAAAGAACAUCCCUUUCACGCCAUUAGGUUCUGUCUCAAGGCACUGUCACACAACACAGGUUUUAACACUGGGAGGAAGUGUAUGACCCACUUAUGACAAAUCACUGGAAAAAACUAAAACCUACAGGUUAAUAUAUCAAGCGCAAAGACUAGUAGGUGAUGUGCGUGUUUGUCCAUCGAGUGUGUUUUUUUUUGUUUGUUUGUAUGUGUGUGUGCCUGUUGAAGUGUGUAUAUCUGUGUGUGUGUGUGUGUGUGUGUGUGUGUGUGUGUGUGUGUGUGUGUGUGUGUGUGUGUGUAUGCAUGCAUGACAUUUGUGUCUGUGUGUGUUUUGGUGUGUGCAGAUGGAACAAGAUGAGGUCUCCCCAGGUUCCGGAGUGUUCUGUGAUGCCAGGGCACUACGGCGAGCCAAUCAGAGUGCGACACCAACAGCGAUGGUCCGGAACCUUCUGGUGGGCGUGUUCGACAAGCACACUCUCCUCAACAGCAACCUGCGUGGAGGCAGCAGUAAAACCUCUCCCUUUCACAAUCACCACGCCCCACUGGACCCCCGCAAGCUCAGCGCCAUCUACGGUAAAUGCACACACACACACAGACACACUCAAGCGCACCCACACACUCAAGCGCACCCACACACACAAUCACAAACACACACACAAGAUCAUCCCCACAAACUCAACAUGCGCACACACAGCCCCACGCACGCACACACACACCCCCCAUGCACACACACGCGCACACACACACACACACACACACACACACACACACACACACAGCUCACUUGCAACUCAAUAUGGAUUGCAUCAUGAUUUCACUCUGCUAUGACCUCGCAAGAAUGCUUGCAACUGAAUGCCAGAAGACCCUCUUCACACACACUAUCACUAUCAAACUCUUUUACUCACUGUCAAACU